rnacentral:rRNA from 1 species
UCUAGGCCCCGUCAGGAGCCCGAGUUGUAAUUUGGAGAGGACACUUCGGGGGGGGAUUGCCUCAGUAACGGCGAGUGAAGCGGCAAAAGCUCAAAUUUGAAAUCUGGCCCUUUCGGGGUCCGAGUUGUAAUUUGCAGAGGAUGCUUCGGGAGCGGCGGCGGUCUAAGUCCCCUGGAACGGGGCGUCAUAGAGGGUGAGAAUCCCGUCUUGGACCGCAUGCCCGUGACCGUGUGAAGCUCCUUCGACGAGUCGAGUUGUUUGGGAAUGCAGCUCAAAAUGGGUGGUAAAUUUCAUCUAAAGCUAAAUACUGGCUGGAGACCGAUAGCGCACAAGUAGAGUGAUCGAAAGGUUAAAAGCACCUUGAAAAGGGAGUUAAAUAGCACGUGAAAUUGUUGAAAGGGAAGCGCUUGCAACCAGACUCGGCCGCAGAGGCUCAGUGGGCACGUGUGCCCAUGCACUCCUCUGUGGUCGGGCCAGCAUCAGUUCUGACGGCCGGUCAAAGGCCCCCGGAAUGUAUCCUCCUCCAGGAGGUCUUAUAGCCGGGGGUGCAAUGCGGUCAGUCGGGACUGAGGAACGCGCUUCGGCACGGAUGCUGGCGUAAUGGUUGUAAGCGACCCCGUCUUGAAACC